rnacentral:rRNA from 1 species
UACGAAGGGGGCUAGCGUUGCUCGGAAUCACUGGGCGUAAAGGGUGCGUAGGCGGGUCUUUAAGUCAGGGGUGAAAUCCUGGAGCUCAACUCCAGAACUGCCUUUGAUACUGAAGAUCUUGAGUCCGGGAGAGGUGAGUGGAACUGCGAGUGUAGAGGUGAAAUUCGUAGAUAUUCGCAAGAACACCAGUGGCGAAGGCGGCUCACUGGCCCGGUACUGACGCUGAGGCACGAAGGCCAAGGGAGCAAACGGG